GGAAGGAGACAGAGCAGUGCAGCUGCCUUUACAUGGAUAUAAAGGACAAGGGGAGCCCCGGAGCCUUUAAACAUAGGGCAGAGAUGGAGAAGAGCAACGCCCUGAGAAGUCACAAUUCUCUUUCCACUCUACCUACCCUCCCAUUGAGCCCAGACUCCCUCUCCCUGUCCCCCAACUCCCAACAUGGGGGCCAUUCCCAGGGCCCUCCCCAGCUGCCCUCCCUUCCCACACUUCAACCAGCUCCCUCCCCUGGAAAGAGCCCAAGAGGAGGACCCAGCUGCAGCUCCAGAUGUGGAUGAUACUCUCUGGGGGAAGGGGGGAAGGGGAGUCAGACGCCAAGCCUCUUGCAUCACUCUCCAAUGAUGAUGAAACUAUGCCAGAGAUUUUGGCAAGGGUGUGGGUUAGGGUCUGAGGAUGUAUCUGUUGGUACCAUCCUCUCUCCCUUCCCUCCCCCACUCACCCCCACAGAUAACAGCUCCGUCCAGUAGUCCAGAUCACUCUGGUUUUAAUGAGUCAAACCCAAACAAUGAUAAUUUCAAGGGCAAAUCAACACCCCUCCCCCCAACCUGAUUCAAAACAGGGCACCACGGGCAGUGGCCCAAUGGUGGAGGAGGAGAGGGAGGGGAUGCUGGUGGGAUCCUGCACCUUUUAUUAGCAUUUGAACCUAGAGGAAGCUCUCUCUGGGCCAGUAGGUCACCCUUCCCCGAGCCGUAGGCCUGCAGAGUGUUGAGUCAGAUCCUGGACAUUCUCUCCCCAUCUUCCAACCAAAAUAAGAGAUGGGGAGGUGGCUAACAGUUAUGGACCAUCCAUGAGAACCAGGGCCAAAAGCAGGAAGAGCAGGUGUGGGAAAUUCUCAAUGUCACAGAACCUUUGUGGAGUUGAAAAGAACGCUCAGAUCAUCGAGUUCUACAGUUUCAUUUUCAGGUGAAGACACGGAAGCCCAGACGGGUAAAGAGACUCGUCGACAGUUGAACAAUAAACUAGUGAGCAGGGACCAACGGUGUGGUCCUCAUGGGUCCAGAGCAGGGCGGUUUCCACAGCAGCAUGGAAGGACCCAGAAGCUAAACAUCCAAGCCUGGGCCCUGUGUGAGUUUCUGGCUUGGAUGAAAGUGAAGACUGUACCAGAUAACAAGAGACAGGUGGAAGCUGAAGUGUGGUGUUCCAAGUCAGAGAUCUGGGUUGAGAUUCCCACCCUGCCACGCGCUAGCUACGUAACCCUGGGCAAGUUAUGUAACUACCUCAGGAGUCCAUUCCCUCACCUCCGAAAGAGGAUAAUCACACUCCCCUCAUCGCAGGACCAGGAUGAGGUUAAAGGCAGUAACCUGGGCCAAGCACCCAGUAUAAUGCUCAGCACAAAAUAGAUAGUAAUUUCCUUCACAUUUCCCGUGGAUUCUCUGUCCCUUCUGCAAUGGGCCUCUGCCCUCUAACUGGACAGAAGGGCACAUCUGUCAUAAAGAAAUCUGCAGGAUA